AGAAGUUUUGAAUUCUGCUCAGGACGAACGCUGCGGCGUGCCUAAUACAUGCAAGUCGAGCGGACAGAAGGGAGCUUGCUCCCGGAUGUUAGCGGCGGACGGGUGAGUAACACGUGGGUAACCUGCCUGUAAGACUGGGAUAACUCCGGGAAACCGGAGCUAAUACCGGAUAGUUCCUUGAACCGCAUGGUUCAAGGAUGAAAGACGGUUUCGGCUGUCACUUACAGAUGGACCCGCGGCGCAUUAGCUAGUUGGUGGGGUAAUGGCUCACCAAGGCGACGAUGCGUAGCCGACCUGAGAGGGUGAUCGGCCACACUGGGACUGAGACACGGCCCAGACUCCUACGGGAGGCAGCAGUAGGGAAUCUUCCGCAAUGGACGAAAGUCUGACGGAGCAACGCCGCGUGAGUGAUGAAGGUUUUCGGAUCGUAAAGCUCUGUUGUUAGGGAAGAACAAGUGCGAGAGUAACUGCUCGCACCUUGACGGUACCUAACCAGAAAGCCACGGCUAACUACGUGCCAGCAGCCGCGGUAAUACGUAGGUGGCAAGCGUUGUCCGGAAUUAUUGGGCGUAAAGGGCUCGCAGGCGGUUUCUUAAGUCUGAUGUGAAAGCCCCCGGCUCAACCGGGGAGGGUCAUUGGAAACUGGGAAACUUGAGUGCAGAAGAGGAGAGUGGAAUUCCACGUGUAGCGGUGAAAUGCGUAGAGAUGUGGAGGAACACCAGUGGCGAAGGCGACUCUCUGGUCUGUAACUGACGCUGAGGAGCGAAAGCGUGGGGAGCGAACAGGAUUAGAUACCCUGGUAGUCCACGCCGUAAACGAUGAGUGCUAAGUGUUAGGGGGUUUCCGCCCCUUAGUGCUGCAGCUAACGGCAUUAAGGCACUCCCCGCCCC
rnacentral:rRNA from 1 species